AGUUGGCAACACUGCAAUUGUAGUACAUCUGGGGAGAGAGCAAGAACAAUGACAGUUACAAACUCACACCCCUGAGAUGAGGUAAACAUGUAAAGCUUCUUAAAAGAGCUACCAAGUUUUUUAAGGUGGCAACAUUGGGUUUCAACAGCCAGAAACACAAGGCAUUUGAAUAUACAAAAGUAUUUUGUGGGUUUACCCUGGCCACCAUUACACCUCUGAGACAAGGGCUUAAGUCCAGAAUGAUGCAAAAUUAGUUUAGUGGCUACCUGAGUAGUGGGGAAAGACACGGAUAGAGGUUAUGGGCAUUCAGGGCACACAGGUUCUAAUGGAGAGAUACACUGGAAAACCAUCAAGACGACACCAGCCCUUACAAUCAAGCUGAAUUCCCAUUGACUUCAAUGGGAAGUGUUUGUGCAGAUGGAUUGCAUGAUUGGAUGCAAAGCAUUGAAAACUUUGUGACAAGAAGUUCUAGCCACAUGCACUAUACAUGGAGGAAGUCAAAUAGCAGCAGUGGAUAAACUCAGUCACAGAGAACAGAAAACUACAGACCUCCAAGAUACUGCUUAUAUACUUGAAAAAAUGUGACAUCUCAUCCAAAGGGGCAAAUGGAUGAGUUAUGAGGCUAAAAUUCUCAUAUUUUUAUAUUAGAAAAAUAUAGCUUUUCUAUGUAGUGAACAGAGAGGAAAGAUCCUCCUUCUCCUAACCACUGCAGACAGAAGCAGAUCAGCAUUUCAGGCUGUGAUUAUUGUGAGUCAGAUCCUAUAACUCUGUCCUAAUAAAACUCAGACAAGCGCACAUUAGAAGCAUGUCAUUUUUAAGGGUCUUGGACUUCCCACUUCUAAAUCAGAAUUUUCUCUCCAGGAAUUCAUGUGAUGGUGCAUUAUAAAUCUCAGAGACUAGAUUAAUCCCCUUAGAGAUUACAUGAGAAAAACUGCAGGAAUCCUAUUUCAAGAUGAAAAAAAUUCUUUCCUAUCAACUGGUCUUGUUAUAACAGACAGACACACACUCACUUUGAUGCCUGCAUCAAAAACGUAACAGACAAAUGACAUGCUUGUAAAUAUAUUCUUCAGGCUGGCAUCAUAACCAAAACCCUGGAUCAGAAAACUCAGUUAUAUGGCUACAUAAAAUAAUUGUGGAAGAGGGCAUGAGAACAGGUGUGAGUAUACAUUAAUCCUGUGCCUGCUUUGAGGGGGGACAUUCCCAGCAUAGCAAAUGGUAAGAUAGUGGUAUGUCCCCUUCAAGCCUUUCAGUGAUUGCACCUAGAUGAACACCAACAUUUUUGAGGGGUUUGGAAUUGAGACCGAAUCUAAAAUUUGCAGCUGGCACCUGCCUCCAUAACAGGCUGAACCAAAAACCUGAUCCCGACUCACUCUCUCUCACACUGUGGAGUAACUAUCAAAUCAAUGGAAUUCUAUCCCUGUGUGAGAUCAGGACAAGGCCUUCUAUAUUGGAACAUCUGUGAACUUCAGAGAGAACUUCGAUACUGGAUGCAAAUUUUGCAGCUCUGGCCUGACUCUACUUUGGAAGUUUCUUAAAAUGCCAAACUGAUUGCAAAGAAUUGUUGCACACUGGGUAACAUAGCCGUUCUCUCCCUUGUGAGCCUAGUUAUUCCAAAUAUGCAGUGACAGUGCAAUGACAUACUGGAGCCAUACGCAAGAAAAUGCAGUUGGAAAGCCUAGAUAAAUGACAAAAUAAGGCUAUUUCCCCCUUAGUAGCCAUUCUAAUAUUGCCUUGAAGUUGGUUACUUAAAAGCAACAUCUUUUACAUUUUGAAUUUAAUUAAUCAGCUGGGCUUGUGCAAGUCAAAGCAAUACCUCCUUCAAACUUCUGAGUUUUAACCUGUUUGGUUUCUGCUAUGUACUACAGUGUUACAGAAGCCAAGAUUUAGAGACACACUCACGUCAUAUUAUCUUAAGAACCAGCGACAUUAACUGGAAACAGUCCACACAUCUCUGUAUUGUCCAUCAGAUGCUUUAAAACCAUUUAUAAGCUGACAAAUACACACAGAUUUCUGUGGCUGGAACAUCGGCACUUUUUCAACUAUUUGUAAAGCAUAAAAAAUGCCUAUUAGUAUAAAAAUUGAAGAAAAAUUACCCGCAGGAGGAAUGGGCAUUAGCCAUGCUUCACUUCCCCCCUUUCUGUUGACAUUUGAAGCACUCUUUUUCUCCUCUUUUCUUUCCAAUUCACAGUGGGUCUAAAGAGGUGAAUCAGUGCACACAGAAAGAGAGAGAGAGAGAGAGAGAGGAAAAAUAAAGAAAAGAAAGAAAAAACCGCAACCCUCUUUUUGCCAAGCUGGGUAUGAAAUAUGAAGGCCCAACAAUUGUUUGAGCUCAGUGUUUUGGAAUAACAUUGGUUAAAUUAUGGAUAGUUUUGAAUAGUGUCACUUUUUUUUCCCUCUGCAGAUGGUUGUUCACACAAGGCGCCUAGCCUGCAUAAUUGUAUCACUAAUAAGCAGUAAGGCAAUUAGUUGUGUAAGUGUGCUAUAAUCAUUCUAACAGAAGAGAUGACGAAGAGACAAAAAAAAGGAGGGGGGACAAAAAAUGUCUUUUCUCAAUUCAUCAACUGACAGCCAUAAUUAGAUAUAUAUAAUUGAAAAUUUCACAGUAGGGGGGCAAGCUUAUACAAAUGAAUUUUCUUUGCUUCCCUUAUGCAUUUUUUCCCCUUUGCCUGAACAUCCCCCCCAGAAAAAGGCAAAAAAUUUGUCAUUCCAGGGGAGCGUAUACUGUAUGAACCACAGGCUGCUCAUUCAGAGCAAUGAUGUCAGAAUAACAUCCCCUCCACCCCCCAGUAUGAAAUAGACAGCUUUGAACUGGGCUUUUAUUAGCUGUUUUCAGCCAGUAGCAAAUAAUACCCCCUAGAUGAUCUAUAUCAGCUUGCGGAUCGUGAAAUGUAAAACUCUAGGAGAAGAGGUCACCUUUUUUUCCAUUGACAUGAAGACGGCUUGUUUUUGGGGAGGGUGCGGGAAGAGCUCUGAGUUAUAAUAGAGCAUUACAUCAUCAAGUAUUAUGGGAAGAAGGGGAUUUCUUUUGAGCGAAGCCUGAUUAUCAAAGGCUAUAAUUAAAUUUGGGCUAAAAAUGCUCAAGUGCUUAUGAGUUUGUGGAAACUAUGCACAGAACAGCUUUCCAUUGAAUUAAUCAGCUUGCAAGUUUUCAUUAUUCUGGACCUUCUCUUUCUAAACUGUAAGCUCACAAUCAGAGCCCCCUUUUUUUAUCAACAAACUCUCCUAAAAUUUAAUUGGACAAACCUUAACUGUGAUUUUUUUUCCUUAAAGAGAGAGCAUGUUAAGUCUGGAGCUUGUUAAUUAAGUUCUUUAAAUGCCCCCAGCUGUGCAAUAAAUUUUCAAAGUAACACAACUGCAUAUUUAUUUUUUUUUAACAUUUGCUCCCUCGUUUUUCAAUUACUAGCUGUAUUUGAAAACAAAACAAAAAAAUCUCAGAGAAUUCCCAUGUAUCAUUGUGAUUCUGGCUGGUGAAAAUUGGAGAAAGUCAGAAGUUGCAUUUGAUUAAAAUAUAACUUGAGAUCAAAGGAAAUGUUUUCUGUGGCCAACAUUACUGCAUUCUUCAGAGAUAAUCCAAGAGUGGGUUGUUUUUGUUUUUAAAGUGUCCUAGCAAGUUAUUGUGGCAGAUGUGUGCAAGGAGAAAAUGCAUUCUGCAGCUAUUUCACAACGGAAACCUUUUACCUGACACCAGAUAAGAAGUGGGCAAAUGAAUUUAUAUUUAAUCUUCAAAUUCAAGGGCCAGGUCUCCAAAUUGGUGAAAAUCAGUAUUGUUUCAUUCAUUUAAAUGGAGCUACGCAAAACUACACCAGUUCAGGUUCUGAUCCCAAGACUUAACAAUAACUACUGGUGCUGAUAAAAGUAGGAUAACAUGCAAAUAUUUAUUGUCACAUUUACUCUUCAACAUAUGGCCCACUGUCUGUAUUUAGGGUCCUGAUUUAUAACACAGAAAAUGCAUUAAUUGGAUCUACACAGUGAAAUCCCAGCUUAAAUGUUAAAUUAAGAAUUACGCUUGGAAAAUAUUCUAUAGUACUAAUGCUCUUCUGUUUGGAGAGAGAGAGAGAGAGAGAGCGAGAGAGUGUAAUAUGUGGUCCCCACCCCUCCUUAUUAGAUCCAUAUUUUGUGGAUAAAAGUUAUCAUACAUAAAGACUUUUAAUCUCUGUCAGCUCAGAAAACUUUGCAGAAUGGAAAUAGCUUAGUAUGGUACUAAGCACUGGAAAAUAGCAUUGGCACCCUUGAGUAUCAUGGAAUCAACAAUGAAAUGACAGUAGGUGGCUACGCUUUUCCCAUGUAGAGUCCUCAGUUUAAACAGCCCACGGCU